GCCCGAGACCCACAAAAAGGCCGUCCCAGACUAGCUGCACCAAUCACAAGCCAGCCUGCCGGCUCUGUAACUUGAGCGCCGGGCUCCCCCUAGUGGACAAAAGAGGGAAAUCCACAAGCGCGACCUCCUUCCCUCCCUCCCGGGACACAGCCCUGGCACACUUUCCGAAGAAAAAAGAAGCGAUGCGGGCAGCCUCCUGCGCUCGGGGGCGCCCGGGGAAAGGACGUUUAGCGCUCCUCCCCGGCCUCCUCAUUUCCCCAAGACACUGGACAUGCGCCACGUACGUCCUCCCAGCAGCUUCUGUAAUCCGCCGGACGCCACUGUUCCCUGAGCCCGAUCCCACCAAGCAAACUUCAGCCUCAGUGAAUCCCCGACAUUCCUCUUGCAAGGCUCGGGCAGUCGCCUUUGGGAAGGCGGGGUGCGGGGGGGGGGCGGGGGGGGAGCGCUCCUUUAGAAAUGACUCAUGAUGUCUGCAAGACACAAUGCUUUCCCAUUAACGAGCAAGACGAGGGGAAGGAUUGGGCUUCUGUUCCGAGAAUUUUCUCCAGUACAGUUCCCACUCCGAGGGCGCCUUCCACGCCUGUGUGAAGCGGCGGCUGAGAAAAAUUCUCUAGAAAAUUUCCCAAAAACCUAAAGACGGGAUGAAAAUGAAAAGAAUAGACAAAAGAAUCCACAAACUGAAAAUACUCUGGAAUGCCACAGUCAAAAUUCAAAGCUUGCAAAUCAAAGAAAAUAUAAAGAGCCAGAAAAAAAAUAAUUCAAGUAUCAAGCAAGAUUAAAACUUGACCCUGGAGGAGCUCCAGCUUGCGACCUCAGACUGCUUUUGGAUCUUCCUUUAGGACUACCGUGUAACAGACGAUGACUGCCAUGGCUGCCAGUUGUCCCCGGUUCCUUCUCCAGGUCCUGUUCAAGGGGUCCUUGGGAUCUCUCUCUUCCCUGAUACUUCCUGCUCUGGUGUUUAGUCUCUGCCUACUUUAUUGCUUGUAAGUAUUGGAAUGGUCCUUGAUGCUAUCAUUUCAGUGUGAGCCUUGCCAGUCCCUGCCCCCUGUUUGCAGACGUUUUAUCUUCCUAAGGUGCCCUGGGAUAGAAAAAUGACUUGGUGAUAUCUUCUUGGUUUUCCCAAUAAGAAUCUGGCCCAGUGAGGGUAGGACUCCCACUCUGCCAUGUGGAUUCUGCCCUAGACGUCCAAGGUUGUUUUUUCUCUACCUUGUUUACGUUGUUCUAGUUUUACUCACUUCUCAGUUUGCUCUGAAACUAUCCACUCUGUUAUGUCUCACAUAGAAUUCUAUUACAUUCAUACACCACAAUUUGUCCAGCCAGUCUCCAAUGGGGGGGUGCUUCCUUGUGAAGAUGGGAUUCACUCUCCCCUGCCCAUUUCUAGAUUUCAUCACCAGAAGUGUAUACACCCCACUUACCCUUGAGUGGGGGAGGUCUGUGACCCACAUGGGCCAUAGUGGCUGAUGAAUCAGAAUCGCCUGACAGCCCCUGGGCAGUCCUAGGCAAAGCUUUAGCUGUAAUUGGUACAUGCCAAAUGGAAGGAAGUCACAGGAAGUGAUGAAGAGGAAGGUCUUUCAAAAUGCAAGAACUUCCUGUGAGGGCUCCUUUGCCCUGAACUUGAUCUUGAAGGAGCUCCAGCUUGAGGCCUCAGACUGCUCUUGGACUUUUCCCUUAGAACUAUCACAUGGGGUGAGUGAAAAAGGCCGACGCCUUUCCUGGAUCUUCUGAAGGGACCAGCCUCAGGAGAGGCCUCCCCUCUCGAGAGAGGCUCCCUGCAUCCCCAGGUCCUCGUCCUGUCUCAAGGCAGAGGCCUCUCUGGCUAAGGACUAAACUCCCCUGCCUGGGUUGAGCCAGGGGUUGGAGCAGAAUACUCAGUGCGUAGACGAGAUAUCUUACCCAUCCUCUCUGAUUUUCUUACUUCACUCUUUCUGUGUUUUAUAAAUAAAUUGCUAAAAAAUUAAAAACAACAUUUUGGAAUUGAUUAAAAUUCCUGGUGACCCUAGUCUUGAAUAGUCCAGUCCAACCUUUCAU